UACGAGAGGCGCAAACGUUAUUCGGAAUUACUGGGCUUAAAGAGUUCGUAGGCGGCGCAGAAAGUAGGGUGUGAAAGCCCUCGGCUCAACCGAGGAAUUGCGCUCUAAACUACUGUGCUUGAGGGACCUAGAGGUGAGCGGAACUGAUGGUGGAGCGGUGAAAUGCGUUGAUAUCAUCAGGAACACCGGAGGCGAAGGCGGCUCACUGGGGGUCUCCUGACGCUGAGGAACGAAAGCCAGGGGAGCGAACGGG
rnacentral:rRNA from 1 species